ACAGACAGGUUUUUGGUUUGAUCACCGAUUUUUGAAAAAAUGACCUGGCAUCCCUGGCAUCAGAGUAUGGUAAACAAACAUUCGGGCAUUUAACAUCGAGUAAAACUUGGUUUCCUUAUCGUAGUGUAAUAUUCUGAUCGUUGAUUGUGGGGAAGUGCGAAUGAUGCUGGCCACAGUUACAUGACGUCAUAGCAGGCGGCUGAUUAAAAUAUCAAUAAAAUCACGAAGUCAAUAUUUUAACUAUCGAUAUCUGAGCAAAAUAAGUAUUGAAAAGGGUUUUAUCGAUAGUCUCUGUGGACGAUCAAUCAUGUUAAGGAUUCAUCUAAAAAUGGGACCGUCAUUAAGAAGCAAGGAAUGGACUUGUUGUUUCGGACUUCAUGUUCGCACAGCGACGAUUAUAAUUGGACUGUGGCAUUUGUUUCUGAAUGUUCUUGCAUUAUGUAUAUUGUCGGUGAUUAUCAGAACAAAUAAUUAUCACCUUUUACUCGACGAUGUAAAUGAUGACGAUAAUGGAAACGAAUCAAUCGCUCCAAUAUUACCCACGCCUCUAAGCAAAGUCGAUCCUCCUUAUGCUUACCGUGACCAUUUUCAGCAAACUGGGCUACGCAACAAUGAUGCUGAUAUGAGUGGUCUGGUGUUCUUGUGCAUGAUUGCAGUAACACUUAUGUUAAUAUAUGGUGCUGUUAAAGGAAAACCUUCGCAUUUGUUACCGUUUUUCUGUUUGCAGAUUUUUGACUUCGCUAUUGUUACGCUUACCGCUGCAGGUCACUUGUGCUACAUAAGAUCGAUGCAUCUUUGGAUAGUUGAUAGUCAAAAUCGACUCCCAUGGCGAGAAGAACUUCUGAAAAUAAACCCAAAAAUCUUGUCGUUGUUUGUACUGAUGGGUUUCUUAUUCUUCAUUCUGCUCAAAUUAUAUGCAAUUGGAAUAGUAUGGCGUUGUUACAAAUGUUUGAAUUUGCGUCAACAUAACAUACGUUCUAUGGUACCAUACAUAAUUCCGGACACACAUGAUAUUCCAAAUCUUCGUCAAGAACCAGACAAUUUGCUUUUGCCAGGAUACGAUGAAGCUAUUGCAAAUGGAAUUAAGCAAGCGCCUCCGCCGUCAUAUAUCGUUGCAAUUUCAAUGAAUAACAAAAUAACUACUCAACCUGUUCCGGUAGAAUCACAAGUCAUAGAAGCAAUCAAUAACAGCGAUUACAUCUGUUUGAAUACUCAUUCUCAUAACUCCUGCGAUAAUGCAUCCAAUGUAACCACUGAAAGUUUCGAUAAUGUUUCGAUUAUAUCAAAUGAACCAGUUACAAAAGAUCGUGAACGUCAAAAUGAAACAAGUAGGGUAUAAAUAUGACUUUCUCAAUUCAGGAAAUCCAGAAACAGCUGGACUAUUAUAAAGCACAAUUUGCUAUGCUGAGUAUCAAGCCGAAUCCAGAAACACAACCCAUGCCGCUCGAAAAUCUACCAAAGAGUGAGAAAUAUCGAUCCAGUCCGGAUUUUAUGAUUACUGAUGAAAUUGAUUCCUGGACAACCGAAUAACGAUCUGGAGGAAACAACUUGAAAUGAAGAUAUGAUCAACGCAGAUACAUUUUACCGCCGUUUCUAUACUAAGAGUGUUACUACCAAUGUAGUCUCGUAUUCAUAUAAACCUAGUAAAUAUAAAUCAUUUGUUCCCUUCA